GGUAGCGUGGCCGAGUUGGUCUAAGGCGUUGGAUUUAAGAAAAGGGUUUCCCCCCCUUGCUUCCCAAUGAAGGUGACUUCGCGCGAGUUCGAAUCUCGCCGCUACCA